rnacentral:lncRNA from 1 species
GGCGGGGGCUAAAACCGAGCCGGGGAGCACGCGCCCGCCCAGCCAGGUCCCUGCUCGGCGUCCGGGGCCGCUCCCAGCGCCGUGCGAUCGUCGGGGGCCGCCUCUCCUCAGCACCCCCCAGCAGUGGCACGUCCCUGUGGGCGCCGGGGCACGCGUGACAGCGAGCGCAUUGUGACACGUUGCCCUGCAGAACAUCAGGAGGGCUGCGCCCCGGGCAGAGCAGUCGGUGCAGAGCGACGGCGCCGAGAGGAGGUGGAGAGCGGAGGAGAGGAGAGCAAAGCCAGAAAGAGCCAGAAAGAGCAAUCCCAGCCCACAGCAUGGUUGGGGGUCGUUCCAGUUCUGUCUACAGGCUGCCAGCAGUGAGCGGCGAAGCCAUGGCGGAGGAGUUGCGGGAGUCACUGUUGGCAGCCACAGCUCAAUUGGCCGCAACGCGGCAGGAGGUGAUGGAGAUCAGGAGGCGGCGUGUGCAGCUGGAGCGGGCCUUGAAGGAGCGGCAGGAAAUCAACGAGGCCCUGCUGCAGGAAAUUGAGGAUCUCCGAGCGGCUCAGCGGAGCCGCAGGAGUCGCCCUGCGCGGUGAGUGAGGCCCAGCACAAGCCAGGCCUGAGGCAGAGGGGAGUUGGGAUCCCGGCCCCCCAGGCAGCUGUGGCCCCGGCUGGGGCUCGGGAAGGCCGGGCCCGUGCAGGGCUGGCACCGAGAGGCGCCCGUCCCAGCUCCAGCAGAGGCCGGGCAGCGGCUUCGGGUCCCUGCGGCCGCCCUGGGGGGAGAGGUCCCGCUGCCGGCCGAGGCCUCUUCUCACACGCCCAACUCCC